AAACCUGUUACUUUGAAUGUUAAUUUAAAAAGCAAAGAGGAGAGUUCAGGGUGUGGGCUCUGAUUGGCUGGUUUGCAUGUGGAUGAAGCGCCCUCCUACUAGCUGUUUGCUCUGCAGGGGUUUUUGGCUGUCUAAUUCUGGGAGGGGCUGACCCUCCAGGCUAGCUUGGCCUCACAUGUCUCUUUCAGGCCAUGUAGGCCUGGAAUGCUGGGUUCAGAGCAGGGGACGUGAACCAACACAGAAUUAAAUACCUACAGUACAAGACUGGGCCUGUUAACAUUCCAUUGUGGGUGUGGGCUCACAAGCCCCACCCCCCACCAGGACCCUCUGGCAGUUAACUGUAGAUGGGAUAGAAGGGCUCAUGUGUCUCCACCUCUUCCUGAGGAUCUAUAGACAGUUGAUGCUGGCUGGGGAAGGAGAGACAGUUUCGUCACUGGUAUAGCCCCUGGUAGUAUCCAUGGAAAGCUUUGAGCAGAAGAGUAAGGUUACUUGCAUCUCUCUGGCUGCUCAGCUACAGAAGCUCAGGGGCUGUGCUGCAUAGCAAAGGGCCAGAACCUGGAGAACCAGAUGGAAUUUGGGUGUGGUAACAACACCACAGCAUUGCAACCUGGGACCGUAACAAACAAGCAAGCAACCAUCCCUGUGCCUCAGUUUCCCCAUUUAUGAGCUGGAAGUGUCCUAGGGUUACAGGCACCUGUCACUGUGUCCAGCUUUUUACAUGGGUGAUGGAGAUCCUGAACUAUGCCAUCAAGCUUGUUCAGCAAGUGCUUUGUCAACUGAGCCACCUUCCCACCUCCUCCCUGCCUUGCUGAGAGCCACCUUCUGCAGGAAAUUUACUUGGGCACAUAAAACUGUGAUUCCUGCUGUCUUCCACUGUCCUGCUGCAGAAUUGUCACUCAUUACUACUUUUUGAAGGUGACUUCCUUGUUAAAACAUCACAGCAAUUGGGUUUUAGAAACUGUGAUGUAUUGUGUAUAAGGUAAAAUCCAGGAGAACAGAAAUUUUAUAUAUUCUUACUCAUCAUUGCUUAGUGGCCCAGAGGACCCAUGGAUCCUGGAUCAUAAUAGAUCACUAAAUAGCAAGACCAGUGGCUAACCUGCAAGCACCGAACUUCAUCUUCACAUGCCCAUUUUCUGGGGAGAGGCCUGGACCAGCUCAUUGCCUAGCUGAAAAUUAGCCCACAUCCCGUUCCUCAUUUUGAUGACAGAAUCCUCCACACUCAGUUCCCUCCCCUGUGAAUAAUUUGUCAAGAAUAAGACAAUAAGCUGUGUUGUGUACCUUUGGUUGUGCAAAUGCAUGACCCAUUCAUUUUAUUAAAAAUAAAAUUUAGAACAGAAUUUGUUUUUAAAACCAGACCAGUUAUCACAGGAAAUAUUCCAGAAGAAAACUAAGGAGGUUCUCAUUUGCCCCAGAGCAGUGAGUUCACCAUGACCUUAUUCUUGGGUCACUGGACAGAGAGUUCUCAGGAGCUGAGUUUACCUGUUUUUAUUUUGAGAAGAGAAAAUGUCUUGAAUAUUUAUUGGAGAUGGAAUUAGGAGUGACCUUGGUGUCACCAGAUGGAAGUCAAAUGUAUUAAUGAGGGCUAUCCACAUCAGAGUUCUGUCUGUUAAUGCUGUCUGUUUUAUUUUAAUGAAAGUUGGAGUGAGAACCCAUCUUUAAAGAGAAUAGCUACCUUGGCUGUCCAUUUUCUAAAAGAAUAAAUGAACCGUCUUUGACUCAUUCGGUAGGAUUAGGGGCAUAACCGCUGCCUGGAGAGUGGCCAAAGGUGAUUCAGAGCAGGCUACCCCUGGGGUGAUUUGGCAGGCUCCACAUACCAAUGAUAAACUAAUUUCCUCACAUGCCUAAAUUGCUGUAAUGAAAUCUGGGCGUGGCCCCCUGGCUUUGGGUGGUGUGUAUACAGAUGCAGGAGAUGUGGGUGUGGCCCCUUGGCUUUGCAUGGCUUGUCUGCAGCUGUCUUAGUCAUAGUUUGGUUCUCUUAUUUAAUCUAUUGGUGUUGUUUUUUAGUCUUCUCAGAUAGUUUUCUAGUUUUUUUUACCAUGGUAAACCUGAUAUAUGAGAAAUCAUGAGUCCAGAACAAUU